GAUGAACGCUGGCGGCGUGCUUAACACAUGCAAGUCGAACGAUGAUCCCCAGCUUGCUGGGGGGAUUAGUGGCGAACGGGUGAGUAACACGUGAGUAACCUGCCCUUAACUCUGGGAUAAGCCUGGGAAACUGGGUCUAAUACCGGAUAUGACCUCCUGCCGCAUGGUGGGGGGGUGGAAAGCUUUAUUGUGGUUUUGGAUGGACUCGCGGCCUAUCAGCUUGUUGGUGAGGUAAGGCUCACCAAGGCGACGACGGGUAGCCGGCCUGAGAGGGUGACCGGCCACACUGGGACUGAGACACGGCCCAGACUCCUACGGGAGGCAGCAGUGGGGAAUCUUGCGCAAUGGGCGAAAGCCUGACGCAGCGACGCCGCGUGGGGA
rnacentral:rRNA from 1 species